rnacentral:rRNA from 1 species
GAUGAACGCUGGCGGCGUGCCUAAUACAUGCAAGUCGAGCGAACGGACGAGAAGCUUGCUUCUCUGAUGUUAGCGGCGGACGGGUGAGUAACACGUGGAUAACCUACCUAUAAGACUGGGAUAACUUCGGGAAACCGGAGCUAAUACCGUAUGAUAUUUUGAACCGCAUGGUUCAAAAGUGAAAGACGGUCUUGCUGUCACUUAUAGAUGGAUCCGCGCUGCAUUAGCUAGUUGGUAAGGUAACGGCUUACCAAGGCAACGAUGCAUAGCCGACCUGAGAGGGUGAUCGGCCACACUGGAACUGAGACACGGUCCAGACUCCUACGGGAGGCAGCAGUAGGGAAUCCUCCGCAAUGGGCGAAAGCCUGACGGAGCAACGCCGCGUGAGUGAUGAAGGUCUUCGGAUCGUAAAACUCUGUUAUUAGGGAAGAACAUAUGUGUAAGUAACUGUGCACAUCUUGACGGUACCUAAUCAGAAAGCCACGGCUAACUACGUG